AGCGAACGCUGGCGGCAGGCCUAACACAUGCAAGUCGAACGAGGCCUUCGGGCCUAGUGGCGGACGGGUGAGUAACACGUGGGAACGUGCCCUUUGGUACGGAAUAACUCAGGGAAACUUGAGCUAAUACCGUAUGUGCCCUUCGGGGGAAAGAUUUAUCGCCUUUAGAGCGGCCCGCGUCUGAUUAGCUAGUUGGUGAGGUAAUGGCUCACCAAGGCUACGAUCAGUAGCUGGUCUGAGAGGAUGAUCAGCCACAUUGGGACUGAGACACGGCCCAAACUCCUACGGGAGGCAGCAGUGGGGAAUCUUGCGCAAUGGGCGAAAGCCUGACGCAGCCAUGCCGCGUGUAUGAUGAAGGUCUUAGGAUUGUAAAAUACUUUCACCGGUGAAGAUAAUGACUGUAGCCGGAGAAGAAGCCCCGGCUAACUUCGUGCCAGCCGCCGCCGUAACAC
rnacentral:rRNA from 1 species